rnacentral:sRNA from 1 species
AAAUAGCCCGGAUAGCAGUGAAAAUCCUUUUUAUAGUUUGUAAAAAGCCCUUCGACGGCGCUCAGGGUGACAAACUAUAAAAAGAUUGUAACGUAAAGCCGGAAAAAGC